AGGGCGUACGGUGGAUGCCUUGGCACUGACAGGCGAUGAAGGUCGUGGCAAACUGCGAUAAGCCUUGGGGAGGAGUAAGCAUCCGUUGAUCCAGGGAUGACCGAAUGGGCAAACCCAUACAGGUAAAACCUGUAUAUCCGUCUACUGAAUAAAUAGGUAGCGGAAGCUAGACCCGGGGAACUGAAACAUCUAAGUACCCGGAGGAAAAGAAAGAGAGAUCGAUUCCCUAAGUAGUGGCGAGCGAAAGGGGAAGAGCCCAAACCGAUGUCUACGUUAAAGGCUGCAGCCGUUGUAACGUCGGGGUAAUAGGACCGUUUGAGCGCAAUCUGCAAAUUGUGCUGCAAGUUACAAAAUAUCUGUUUAACUGAACCUGCUGGGAAGAGGGGCAAAGAGGGUGAUACCCCCGUAAGUGAAAAGCAGAUAUCUUGCAAGAGCGGCACCUGAGUACCGCGGGGCACGUGAAACCCUGUGGGAAUUCUCGAGGACCACCUCGAAAGGCUAAAUACUAGUCAGUGACCGAUAGUGAACAAGUACCGUGAGGGAAAGGCGAAAAGAACCGCUGUGAGCGGAGUGAAAUAGAACCUGAAACCGUAUGCUUACAAGGAGUAGGAGGGCUAUGCAGCAAUGUAUGCCUGACUGCGUGCCUUUUGUAGAAUGAUCCGGCGACUUACUUUAAUAUAGCGAGGUUAAGUGAUAGAAAUCACGGAGCCGAAGGGAAACCGAGUCUGAAUAGGGCGAUAGUUAUAUUAAGUAGACCCGAAACCAAGUGAUCUAUCCACGGUCAGGUUGAAGCAGGGGUAAGACCCUGUGGAGGACCGAACCGGUGUCUGUUGAAAAAGCCUCGGAUGAACUGUGGAUAGGGGUGAAAGGCCAAACAAACUUGGAAAUAGCUGGUUCUCCCCGAAAUAGCUUUAGGGCUAGCCUCGUGUGUUUCGUUGUUGAGGUAGAGCACUGAAAGAGCUAGGGGGUUUACCAAUCUACCAAACUCUAUCAAACUUCGAAUGCGACAACGUGAGAGCACGGGAGUCAGACUGCGGGUGAUAAUAUUCGUGGUCGAGAGGGAAACAACCCGGACCAACAGCUAAGGUCCCAAAAUGUAUGUUAAGUGAGGAAGGAUGUGGAAUCACACAGACAGCCAGGAGGUUGGCUUAGAAGCAGCCAUUCCUUCAAAGAGUGCGUAAUAGCUCACUGGUCGAGUGAUUCUGCGCCAAAAAUGAUUGGGGCUAAACAUACUACCGAAGCUUUGGACUCAGCAAUGAGUGGUAGGGGAGCAUUCUGUACCGGGAUGAAGGUUGAUCGUGAGGACGACUGGACUGUACAGAAGAGAGAAUGCCGGAAUGAGUAACGAUAAAAUGUGUGAAAAACAUAUUCGCCGAAAACCCAAGGUUUUCUGGGCAAUGCUAAUCAUCUCAGAGUUAGUCGGCCCCUAAGACGAGGCUUAACAGCGUAGUCGAUGGGAAGCAGGUUAAUAUUCCUGCACCGGUUUGCGGAGGUAAUCGUGAUGGAGUGACGCAGAAAGAUAAUGGCGCAGAGUGUUGGAUUACUCUGUUCUUAGUGUAGGCUUGAUGUCCAGGUAAAUCCGGAUGUCUUAUGGCUGAGGCAAUAGGGGAGCUCGGGCAACCGAGUGAAGGUCAUGAUUCUAGGCUGCCAAGAAAAACUUCUAAACGCGAAGCAGACCGACCGUACUACAAACCGACACAGGUGGGUGGGGUGAAUAACCUAAGGCGCUCGAGAUAACUCUUGUUAAGGAACUCGGCAAAUUAGUCCCGUAACUUCGGGAAAAGGGACGCCUUUUUAGCGUGAAGUAGAACAUACGGAGCGUGAAGAGGUCGCAGAGAAAUGGGCCAAGCGACUGUUUAGCAAAAACACAGGGCUCUGCAAAAUCGUAAGAUAAAGUAUAGGGUCUGACACCUGCCCGGUGCUGGAAGGUUAAAAGGAGAGGUUAGCGUGAUUUAUCAUGCGAAGCUUUGAAUUGAAGCCCCAGUAAACGGCGGCCGUAACUAUGACGGUCCUAAGGUAGCGAAAUUCCUUGUCAGGUAAGUUCUGACCUGCACGAAUGGUGUAACGACUUGGUCACUGUCUCAACAAGAGGCUCGGUGAAAUUGUAAUGUUAGUGAAGAUGCUGACUACCUGUAGUUGGACGGGAAGACCCCGUGCACCUUUACUGUACCCUGACACUGUGAUUUGGCAACGUAUGUGUAGGAUAGGUGGGAGACUUUGAAGUUGGGACGCCAGUCUCGAUGGAGUCGUUGUUGAAAUACCACCCUUACUUUGUUGGAUUACUAACUGAUACCCGUUAUCCGGGAUCAGGACAAUGUCUGGCGGGCAGUUUGACUGGGGCGGUCGCCUCCUAAAGAGUAACGGAGGCGCCC
rnacentral:rRNA from 1 species